rnacentral:lncRNA from 1 species
AUGGGAGUGUCCAUCCCACAACGCCACAGCUUCAUCCUCCUCCUGGCCCACAACCCACUUGCAAACACUCCACCCACCCGCACCCUCCCGGGGUGGCGGCGAAGCCUGGUUCUGGGCCGCGUGGCCGCCGCCCCACGCCCCCUCUGCGGGUCACCGCCCCCAGCCGACGCCUCCUCCCCGCGCUGCUCCUCCUCUGUCUGCCUCCCCUCGGCUCUUUCAGAUCCUAGGAACCAAAGCCUGUGCGUGGUUGUCAACUUCUUCACACACCGAGCAACAUCCCCAGCUCUUAACACCUAGAUAGCAAAUCAUGAAUUAAUAUUUUUCUUGGGCCUCCACUUCCCCUGUGUACAAAUUGUAUAAUUACUGUGAAUAUAAUUAAAUCUUAUAUAAUACCAAACUCCACAUUUAACAGCAAUCCAAGCACCAUCAUAGUUUGUAACAGGAAAGACUUGUGACAGCUGGUGAGAGGGGUGGUAUUUACCUUUUUCUAUAACAUUCUGUACUUCCAGAAUUAUACCUCCCACCUUUUCUUUCUUGGGGACUCUGUAAUUGUAUCUUUUAUGUUAAGAAAUAAAACAAUAACUUAGCUCCUUUGCUUAAAAAAAAGUCUUAUAUAAUAAAGUCUGGAUCAAUUUAGUUCUUGUUCCUUGGUUGAACACACUAAUCCCUUGCUGCAUUCCUUAAACCAAAAUUGCUUUAUGUUUUGGAGAUUUACCUAUGAACAAAAUAAGUCUCCACCUUCAUGAAGAUUAUAUUUGUUCUUUUUUAAUUAUUGUUUUUUUCUG